AAGCAACACUGCCAAAACAAAGAAAGAUAAAGUGAGGGAAUAAAAAUAAAAGUAUGGUACAAUGAUGGCAGGACACCAUGGUGCUUUGCCUUCAAGAGGGGGAGGAAAAGAAACAAAGAUAACACCUUUUGGCAGAGGAAUAUUAAAAUGUAGAGGUGUUGCAUUUUAAUUUUGCAGAGUUUCUGAAGCUAACUUAUUCAAUACAAAUGGGUGCUGAUGGAUCUCAGUUACUUUCAGGAAGUACUCUUCACUUCACAGAAUGAUUCCCUGCAUGAGCAACACUGCUUCCUAUUCACAUAUUCCUAUGCUGCUAAUACAAAAGAACACACUGAUCCAUUAGCUAUUAUUGACAGAGUUCAUUGUAGACAUGAAAAAGAGAAACUGAAGCCUUCCAGCAGUUUUCAUUUGAGUAGUGAAAUAAAACCAGAGAGAGAACAGAAAGAAAGAGGCGUUAACCUCCCUUCUGCUAAAUUUUUACCUUUUCAGGUGUCUUUUUAUUCUUACAGACUAUUUUUGAAUACUCAGCGGCAAAUCUCUAUUGAUCUUUUCAUCUCAAUGCUAGAAUAGCAUUGUAAAGAGUGCCUUGCUUUCAAAUAUUCUUUUUAAAAUGUGACUUGCUGAGUAUAACAACUCAGAAAAAAGCCCUACUUUUUA